GUGGCCAUUAUGGGUGAUGAAGCCCUGCUUUCCUGGGAUAGCUGAGCCCCUGCCUGCCCCUGGGAAGGGAGCCUGAAGCAGUCUCAGAUGGAUAAGAUUAGGAGUCUGAAAGAUGCAUAGUAAGACUGGAGAAGAUAUUGCCAGAAACAGUCUACCUUUCAGAGUUAAAGGAGUCUUUUGGAACUACUUUAAAAAACUUCUUAACAAAGCCUACACAGACUAUAUUCCAAAAUUACAGAUUCAAAUAUGUAGAAUCAAAAGGACACACCAUUUAACACAAUUUAUAAAU